rnacentral:rRNA from 1 species
GAUGAACGCUGGCGGCGUGCCUAACACAUGCAAGUCGAGCGAGAAUUUACGGAAUGAAGCCUCGGCGGAUUUCUGUAAAGGAAAGCGGCGGACGGGUGAGUAACGCGUGAGUAACCUGCCCUUUGGAGGGGGGUAACACAUCGAAAGAUGUGCUAAUACCGCAUAACAUACAUUUACCGCAUGAUAGAUGUAUCAAAGAUUUAUCGCCAAAGGAUGGACUCGCGUCUGAUUAGAUAGUUGGUGAGGUAACGGCUCACCAAGUCGAUGAUCAGUAGCCGAACUGAGAGGUUGAUCGGCCACAUUGGGACUGAGACACGGCCCAG